AUUGAACGCUGGCGGCAGGCCUAACACAUGCAAGUCGAGCGGAUGAAGGGAGCUUGCUCCUGGAUUCAGCGGCGGACGGGUGAGUAAUGCCUAGGAAUCUGCCUGGUAGUGGGGGAUAACGUCCGGAAACGGGCGCUAAUACCGCAUACGUCCUGAGGGAGAAAGUGGGGGAUCUUCGGACCUCACGCUAUCAGAUGAGCCUAGGUCGGGUUAGCUAGUUGGUGGGGUAAAGGCCUACCAAGGCGACGAUCCGUAACUGGUCUGAGAGGAUGAUCAGUCACACUGGAACUGAGACACGGUCCAGACUCCUACGGGAGGCAGCAGUGGGGAAUAUUGGACAAUAGGCGAAAGCCUGAUCCAGCCAUGCCGCGUGUGUGAAGAAGGUCUUCGGAUUGUAAAGCACUUUAAGUUGGGAGGAAGGGCAGUAAGUUAAUACCUUGCUGUUUUGACGUUACCAACAGAAUAAGCACCGGCUAACUUCGUG
rnacentral:rRNA from 1 species